rnacentral:rRNA from 1 species
AUUGAACGCUGGCGGCAGGCCUAACACAUGCAAGUCGAACGGUAACAGGAAACAGCUUGCUGUUUCGCUGACGAGUGGCGGACGGGUGAGUAAUGUCUGGGAAACUGCCUGAUGGAGGGGGAUAACUACUGGAAACGGUAGCUAAUACCGCAUAACGUCGCAAGACCAAAGCGGGGGACCUUCGGGCCUCUUGCCAUCGGAUGUGCCCAGAUGGGAUUAGCUAGUAGGUGGGGUAACGGCUCACCUAGGCGACGAUCCCUAGCUGGUCUGAGAGGAUGACCAGCCACACUGGAACUGAGACACGGUCCAGACUCCUGCGGGAGGAAGCAGUGGGGAAUAUUGCACAAUGGGCGCAAGCCUGAUGCAGCCAUGUCGCGUGUAUGAAGAAGGCCUUCGGGUUGUAAAGUACUUUCAGCGGGGAGGAAGGGAGUAAAGUUAAUACCUUUGCUCAUUGACGUUACCCGCAGAAGAAGCACCGGCUAACUCCGUGCCAGCCGCCGCGGUAA